rnacentral:rRNA from 1 species
UACGCCUUCAUGAAGCCGGAAUUGCUAGUAAUGGCAGGCCAGCAUACUGCCGUGAAUACGUUCCCGGGCCUUGUACACACCGCCCGUCACACCAUGAGAGUUAGGAAUACCCGAAGCCUGUGAGCUAACAUUAAGAGGCAGCAGUCGAAGGUAGAAUCAAUGAUUGGGGUGAAGUCGUAACAAGGUAGC